CUACGGACUUAGAAAACUGAGCCUUGAUUGAGAAAUCUUUCAAGUGGAAGCUCUCAAAUUCAGGGAAACCUAAAUCUGUUCACAGACAAGGCAAUCCUGAGCCAAGCCGAAACAAGUGCUGAGUUGCAAAACUCGUGGUCGGAAGGUGCAGAGACUCGACGGGAGCUACCCUAACGUUAAGACGAGGGUAAAGGGAGAGUCCAAUUCUCAAAG
rnacentral:ncRNA from 1 species